rnacentral:rRNA from 1 species
AUUGAACGCUGGCGGCAGGCCUAACACAUGCAAGUCGAGCGAGCGGCGGACGGGGGAGUAAAGUCUGGGAAACUGCCUGAUGGAGGGGGAGAACUACUGGAAACGGUAGCUAAUACCGCCUACCAUCUGAUGUGCCCCGAUGGGAUUAGCUAGUUGGUGGGGUAAAGGCCUACCAAGGCGACGAUCUGUAGCGGGUCUGAGAGGAUGAACCGCCACACUGGGACUGAGACACGGCCCAGACUCCUACGGGAGGCAGCAGUGGGGAAUAUUGGGAAAUGGGGGAAAGUCUGAUCCAGCAAUGCCGCGGGGGUGAAGAAGGCCUUAGGGUUGUAAAGCUCUUUUAACGGGGAGGCGUUACUCGAAGAAUAAGCAACGGCUAACUCUGUGCCAGCAGCCGCGGUAAUAC